UGUUCAUACGUUCCUGCACCAGUAGAGUGAAAUGUCGUCAGUUGUGGGGAAUUCCCUUUCCAGUUUUUGCAUCUCAUCAACAUAUUUGAACGUUUUCAGCAUUCUUUUGAUAAGGUAUAAAUAUGACCAACCAUAACUGCACAUAAAUGGAAUUUUGUAGUUUUUGUCAGGUUGUUAUGAAAAGAUAUACCUCUGUAUUCAUACAGAUCUUGAGAAUUUUUUGAAUGAAGAAAGAAGUAAUUUCAACCACUGCUCUGACUUUUGUCUGCAUUUUUUGUCUUGCUGACGCUGCAAAAGUAAAAGAUAGAGAAGACGUGGAAAAUGUCGCGGGAAACUCAACUAUUUGGGCAGACAAAAGCGUCGAAAAGACAAAGAACUGGGAACUGUCAUCGGUAAUGAAGUGGGAAUUUCACAUACAUGCUAUGGGUUACUCGAAAAUUAUUUUCAUUGUAAUUUGGACAAUUAUCUACACAGUAUCAAUAUUAGAGAGUUGGAAGUGAUGACAAUUAAUGCUUCCUCACAUCAUGGCAAAAACGACGCGUUGAAGAAUGUUUACGGUGGCAGGAAAUAUAUACCUUUUUGGUUCGGUCUUCUGUUCAUUCGUAGGGUGCCAGCAUGACGUUGUGCUAAUUGACAAGAUGGAAAAAGAGACUUUGGUCAAAAUAAAUCAUAUACCUAUAUAUUCAAAAUACUUUCAAAACGAACUAUUAUAGUUGGUGAUGAAUUUCUACAAAAUAAGAUUUUAUCAAUGGAGUUGCAUCUAAGGUGCUUAGAUAUGUAAAUAUAUGUGCAAAAUCGAGCAUGGGUAUGAUUUAUUUUGACGUACCCUUGAUCCUCCGUUACUGAUAUAAAAUUAUUUAUCAAAAAAGUUGUAAAAGUUAAGUUCUAUAUGUUGUUUAAUUGUUCUAAAACGUUUAGACUUUUAAGUCUUUUGUAUUAUUAUGGUAUAGGAAUAUAUAAUAAGACAUAAUUUGUUUCUUAUUAGCCCGAGCAUCCUAACUUUGUUGAAACAAAAAUGUUGAUAAAUAGCGUAAAAUAUAUGGUUUGAGCCUCGUUAUUAGUUACACUGCAGAUUUAAAUGUGAUUAUAAUUGAAUAAAGAAGAAGGAAUUUUUAAACUUGA